rnacentral:rRNA from 1 species
AUUGAACGCUGGCGGCAGGCCUAACACAUGCAAGUCGAGCGGAUGAAGGGAGCUUGCUCCUGGAUUCAGCGGCGGACGGGUGAGUAAUGCCUAGGAAUCUGCCUGGUAGUGGGGGAUAACGUCCGGAAACGGGCGCUAAUACCGCAUACGUCCUGAGGGAGAAAGUGGGGGAUCUUCGGACCUCACGCUAUCAGAUGAGCCUAGGUCGGAUUAGCUAGUUGGUGGGUAAAGGCCUACCAAGGCGACGAUCCGUAACUGGUCUGAGAGGAUGAUCAGUCACACUGGAACUGAGACACGGUCCAGACUCCUACGGGAGGCAGCAGUGGGGAAUAUUGGACAAUGGGCGAAAGCCUGAUCCAGCCAUGCCGCGUGUGUGAAGAAGGUCUUCGGAUUGUAAAGCACUUUAAGUUGGGAGGAAGGGCAGUAAGUUAAUACCUUGCUGUUUUGACGUUACCAACAGAAUAAGCACCGGCUAACCUCGUG